GAUGAACGCUGGCGGCGUGCCUAAUACAUGCAAGUCGAGCGAACAGACGAGGAGCUUGCUCCUCUGACGUUAGCGGCGGACGGGUGAGUAACACGUGGAUAACCUACCUAUAAGACUGGGAUAACUUCGGGAAACCGGAGCUAAUACCGGAUAAUAUUUUGAACCGCAUGGUUCAAUAGUGAAAGACGGUCUUGCUGUCACUUAUAGAUGGAUCCGCGCUGCAUUAGCUAGUUGGUAAGGUAACGGCUUACCAAGGCAACGAUGCGUAGCCGACCUGAGAGGGUGAUCGGCCACACUGGAACUGAGACACGGUCCAGACUCCUACGGGAGGCAGCAGUAGGGAAUCUUCCGCAAUGGGCGAAAGCCUGACGGAGCAACGCCGCGUGAGUGAUGAAGGUCUUCGGAUCGUAAAACUCUGUUAUUAGGGAAGAACAAAUGUGUAAGUAACUGUGCACGUCUUGACGGUACCUAAUCAGAAAGCCACGGCUAACUACGUG
rnacentral:rRNA from 1 species